GUCAUAUUUCCGGUGUACUGUUUUUGACGUUAAAUAUUUCGAUGAAAGGACUUUAUCUGCAGAUUCGGCAAACGAGGACUUGUUUCGAGAUCAAGAUGGCGGAGACUGCAGCGCAUGAUGGCGGCCAUGUUAAGACAAGUUUUUCAGUUUCAUAGAAAAUUGGAACCUGACGGCACUGAAGGCACUAAAAAAGUGCAUACACUAACAGAACCACCGGCGAAGACUGAAGCUCAGCCUCUCGUACAAAUAAAAACAGAACAGAAAUGGCAGCGUGACCUACAUGACAUAGGCUAC